rnacentral:rRNA from 1 species
UACGGGGGGGGCAAGCGUUGUUCGGAAUUACUGGGCGUAAAGGGUUUGUAGGUGGCUUGUUAAGUCAGACGUGAAAUCCCUCAGCUUAACUGGGGAACUGCGUCUGAUACUGGCGAGCUUGAGUGCAGGAGAGGAACGCGGAAUUCCAGGUGUAGCGGUGAAAUGCGUAGAUAUCUGGAGGAAUACCGGUGGCGAAGGCGGCAUCCUGGACCGGCAUUGACGCUGAGGAGCGAAAGCUAAGGGGAGCAAACGGGG